AUACUUACCUGGCGUAGGGGUUACCGUGAUAAAAAGGGCGGUUCCUUCAGUGUGAGGCCCUUCCAUUGCACUACGGUUAGGCUGACCCUCCGUUUAAGGCAUGCCUACUUAGGU